AAGUGGCGAACGAGUGAGUAACACGUAAGUAUCUGCCCUGUACUCAGGGAUAACCCGGCGAAAGUCGGGAUAAUACCGGAUGGUCUCGAAAGAGUAAAGAUUUAUCGGUACGGGAGGAACUUGCGGCUUAUCAGUUAGUUGGUGGGGUAAAGGCCUACCAAGACUAUGACGAGUAGCUGGAUUGAGAGAUUGACCAGCCACGAUGGGACUGAGACACGGCCCAUACUCC
rnacentral:rRNA from 1 species